UACGUAGGGUGCGAGCGUUGUCCGGAAUCAUUGGGCGUAAAGCGCGUGUAGGCGGCCCGAUAAGUCCGCUGUGAAAGUCCAGGGCUCAACCCUGGGAUGCCGGUGGAUACUGUCGGGCUCGAGUCCGGAAGAGGAGUGUGGAAUUCCCGGUGUAGCGGUGAAAUGCGCAGAUAUCGGGAGGAACACCAAUGGCGAAGGCAGCUCGCUGGGACGUUACUGACGCUGAGACGCGAAAGCGUGGGGAGCAAACAGG
rnacentral:rRNA from 1 species